rnacentral:lncRNA from 1 species
GGCCAGAACAGUCCAUUUGAGGAGUCACAAGAUUUAUGAGGUUAAAACACAUUAUGGAUAUAUUGAUUAAGAGUUAACAGUUUAACUCUGAAGUCAUACUGAAUAUUGAGAAUCAAAAGAAUGAAUUAUACAAUAACCAUAUGCCAAAGGUUCAUCAAUAUUACUUUGUAAUCAUUCGGCCUAUCCGGACGUCAGAUAUCAUUACUAGAC